CGGGGUGCAGCAGGCGCGCAAACUUUACAAUGCGAGCAAUCGUGAUAAGGAAACCCUGAGUGCCUGUCGAUGCAGGCUGUCCAUCUGUUUAAAUUGCAGGUGAAGAAAGGGCAGGGCAAGACCGGUGCCAGCCGCCGCGGUAAUACCGGCUGCUCGAGUGAUGGCCACUAUUACUGGGUUUAAAGCGUCCGUAGCUUGAUUAUUAGGUCUCUUGGGAAAUCUUCUGGCUUAACCAAAAGGCGUCUAAGAGAUACCGGUAAUCUUGGAACUGGGAGAGGCAAGCCGUACUUCGGGGGUAGGAGUGAAAUCUUGUAAUCCUCGAGGGACGACCUAUGGCGAAGGCAGCUUACCAGAACAGCUUCGACAGUGAGGGACGAAAGCUGGGGGAGCAAACGGGAUUAGAUACCCCGGUAGUCCCAGCCGUAAACGAUGUGCGUUAGGUGUGUCGGUUACCACGCGUAACUGAUGCGCCGAAGAGAAAUCGUGAAACGCACCACCUGGGAAGUACGGUCGCAAGGCUGAAACUUAAAGGAAUUGGCGGGGGAGCAC
rnacentral:rRNA from 1 species